rnacentral:lncRNA from 1 species
AAAAUAUUUCACUGCAAGUCUUCCCUAAAAUGGAAAAUGACUAAUAUAAUCAAACAUUAUAUCACUGGUACUCCAAACUGUUACAGAUGGCCUUGAUAGAGAAGUUGAAAGACAGGAUGCGUAAGUGCAGGAUAUGGAUCACAAGGAGUUCUUUCAGAGCAAUAUGGAAAAAAAAAAUGUAUUAAUCGUAUUAAAACAUCUGUCUGGUUUGAACGAGGUUUGACCUUAAUGAUAGCCUGGUUUCUAUGGAUGAAGUCACAUUAAUAUAUUGAAGAGAAGGGAUUGUCGAUUUUAAUUUUUUUAAAUGCAUUUUUGUUAUUGCCUUUCUUAGAAUUCUACUUUUUCCACUGCUGAAAGUGAUCAGAGGGUCUCUAAGUUUGUAGUUUGCAAUCCGUCAUCAGUUAGCUGGCAAACAGGUGGCAUUUUAUGAACUGGCAGAGUUGCUUGACCGUGCAAGCAAUUUGGAUGGGUGUCGUCAUUGCCAGAACAAUUUUGAAAUGGAGAAAGGCAGAUUAUGCACCAAUUUUUCCUGGAUCAGGAAUUCACAGAUAUGACAGUCUAAUAAGGAUGCAAAGUGCACUCUUUGACCCAGAAAGCUUAAACAGCAAGGAGAAGAACACGAAAUGUUGGCUGCUUUCCCAAGGUGGUAUCUGCUGCCUGAUCUAAGGUGUGACAAAUUAGCAGCUGUCUCCUCCAAGGACACUGUCAGACAAGCUUCCCAAGCUCAGCUCUCCCUCCCUCCUUCUCUUUGGAAAGGGAAACCAUCUGGGGGAUCCAGGUAACGAAAAAGGAUGUCGAGAACUUGACCCUUCAGAAGUGAUGACACAUUGCAUUGAAGAUGCAGAAUACAAAACGCGGAAUGCAAAUUGCAGAAUGCAGAAUGCAAUUUUGGGGGGAGAAGAACAGGAGAGUCCUUAAUGAAACUCCUGAAUCACUCCAUGGUUGGAAUCGAUGAGGCAUCACCAAACCUCAAACAGCACCCAAGAAGAGACACCAGCUUUCAAAAGUUGACGUAUUUAAGCUCCUUCACUAUUCGACCUACCAAGCAGGCAACCAACCAACCAACCAACCAACCAACCAACCAACCAACCAGACUCACAAAACGCAACGUCUGCAUCCACUCUUUUAGUUGGUAGCUGCCACAUGUUGGUGUUUCCAUCCCACUUCUGAUCCACAUUAAAGACCAGAAAAGACCAGCUGCUGCCUGCUAUCACAUUUAAAGCAGCUUUGGAGCCACUUUUAUUUUUUAAUACGCGUGAAUGCUUCCAAAUCUGUGAGGCUUCCAAACAGGAAAAGUGACUACCAUUUAUGUAGGCUCUAUUUUGCCAGCAAUGUAUUGCAAUAUUCAGUUUAUUUACUUACAGCAAUGGGGCCAAGGAGAGAUGUGCUGAACUGGUUCAGUGGGUUCAUGAUUCACAGCAAAUGGGGUGUUGGCACAGUUUGCACACAAACCAAACCACUCUGUUGUUCAAAAAAACCCAGUUGGAAUUGAACCUGAAUCAGGGGUUGGUCUGAUGGCCCAAGCGAACCAUGGCAAACCAAGGUGAUUUGCUAUGGUUCGCAUGAGAACUGAUCCACCCAGUUAUUUGAAAAAACACAUUUCGAACCAAACCAAACCGAGGCUACUUUGGUUUGAUUUGAAGCAAACCACUAAAUUUCAGUUUGUGCACAUCCCUGGAGUCAAGUGAUAGGCAGGAAAGCUUAGCUGGCAUC